CAAAAGAACAGUAAAACUAUGUUUAAACGUUUGUUUGCCCGUGGUGAGCAUGUUUUAUUUUUGCGCAUUUUUUCUUAAUGGUCUGUUCUGUGUUAAGAGUUUAUGUGCGUAUUUUGUUAAUGAGCACACCACUCGUCCUGUCCAUCCAUACUAGUAUUGCUGUUAGCUAGUUAGCUUUAGCCCUGACAAAGUUAGUGGAGAUGUUUUCAUUCCAGAUUCCGACUUAACGAUGAAGGCGUCAUUGACAUCAAAGAUGACCCUCUCCUACCCAGACAGCCAUCAAGACUAUAACAUUGAGGACCACACACAAAUGAUGGCUCCUCUACGCGAUGGCCCAUUGAUGAUUAAGCAAGGACUGGUGUGUUUUCCCAGAAAGCUCACAGAGCCACAAAAGACAGUGUGGAGUGAACGCAUGAUGGUCUGCAAAUAAAUAAAGCAAGAGUGGAAAAAUGUGGGUGAACACUCACCGAUAAAAUGGCCAGAUUUUGCGAGGGUAGACUUGAGUGUUUAUUUCCAGACUAUUGUGGGUCUGCGCCAUCAUUUAUGGCUCUCCCAGGUUGUGUCUUUAAAAAUGUCAAUGAAAUUUUCAUAGCUGCUUCAGCGCAAUAGUGGAAUAGUAAAACAGAAAACGGAUUCAAUGUUAAGUUGCUGUGUUUUCACAGUGGAUAACUUCUUUUUACGCUUGUGUGGCGUUCAAGAACGUCCACAAGUAAAGAUGCCCAACGUGACACAAAUCAACUCCACAUUACGGCUUUGUCAUUUGUCGUCAAAGUUAAGAUUGUUUUGUUUUCAUGUCUUACAACAGCAGCGGUUAACGUUUUUUUUUUUUUUUACAUUUGUAUGACGCUAAAAGGUCCAAAUUACAGUUGCUAAAGAUUUUAUGAUGGCAACAGUUUGACUCCGGAGCGGAUUAUUUCUAGAUCCAUUAUUUCCUAUAGUAGAAAUAGUUUUGAAAUAUGAGAAAAUUGGAUGGAGUUGUUUUCUCAAUUAACAGAACUACGCAUAACUGUCUGGUGUAAGAUCAUUACAAGAAAAAAAAAAUCACCAAAUUUGAGAAUUUUUCCUAAAUAUUCGGUACUUAUUGUUUUACUUGUUUGCAGAAAAGUUUAGUUUCUUUGUGGAGGUGUAAGAACCUCAUAGAGAGGGCACAGGAAGGGUCUAGUUAAAUCUGGAUAAAGUUGCAGAUUCAUGCUAGAUUUCUUGAAAUUUUGUUGAAUUUGCCAAAAGUUGUAGUUUUUCAAUAAAUGAAUGCAUGAAAAAUAGGGGUGUCACGACACAACCGUCAGUACAAUGAAAAAAUAUAUGACCAUAUAUUGCAAUCUACUAAUUGAAUUACCACUACAGUACACUCUUCUGCACUGCGUGUGUAUGCCACCGGCCUCGCCUCCACCCGCCGAGGAAAAGAAGACUGCAUGACUGACAAAAAGCGGCUGUUCUGUGGAAAAAAAUCCUAGGGGAAACCCUGAGAGACGAGGGAAACAGACACACAUGCACAUGGCAAUAUACUAAGACAGAGUUGAUUUUCAUUUAUUGUGUGAUCAAUUAAUUAAUUAAUUACCAUCCUAGGCCUAGGGGCCACAAGGCUUUUUUUUAUUCUGAAUAAGAAAUCUUGUCAUGUUUUAAUAUCGCGACAUCUUGUGACAUGAGAUCCUGUGACACCCCAACAUUGUUGAUAUAUUCCUUUUCUUCCUCAGCUAAAGUUUUUGACGUUUUUAACUCAACUCAU